AUCAGCUUCGUGGGAUAUGCUUGUGGAACAAUCUCAUUUCUUGAUUCCUGAGCUGACUUCUGUGAAGCACCAAGCAUCGGCUCCAGACUCUGUGCUCUGUUCUGCAGUGUUGGAGCUAGGACCGCACAUCCCAGCUGCUUUGCCAGUGGCUUCCGGGCCACCUCCAUCAGCAGGAGGCGGUAGAAGCACCAGCAAGAUGGGGCUUUGGUCCUUCCUGUUGGCUUCCUGUUGCCCCAGCUGUAGCUGUUGAAUUCAGUCUUCAGUUAUCCCAGCACUGGCCAGCCAGCCUCAUCGUCCACACUCCCUGCAGAUCCCACCACUCCUCCAAGGAAGUCUCUACCUCAGGGCCCUUUGGCUACGCUUCUAAGGUUAAGUCUAACCGGUUCCCUCAGGCCUAGGGGUGGUGGCUGCUUCCUGUCGUUGCUACUUCCCUGAUAUCUAGAAUUUUCCUUUUUCUACCCAGUUACCUGGUUACUGACUUUCUACCCAGUUAACAAUUUAUAUUAAAGCCCUUCUGUUCAAAAA
rnacentral:lncRNA from 1 species